rnacentral:lncRNA from 1 species
UCGGCUUUGCCUUGCGUGGAGGUUUCGACGUACUCUCGAUAGAGCGAGCGUCUUCCACCCUAGAUUGAGUUCCUAGCGGGUAGUCCAAGUGAGAACCUGUGCCCCUUUCGAGGGGGUCAGCUGUAGCCCGGAGGCGUCCUCAUAAAGCAGGGUCGACGUGGUCGGGGAUACCGGUCUCAUUCGAUAGAGUCCAGCGGCUCGAUGCCUCCCUUCGGGGGGAUUCCUCUCGACUGUCUCGACCCUACCUUGGACAUCGCCAGUGAGUCCUCGAGGCGGGCCUCGAUUUUCGACCACUCGCUGGGGAUCCCUGACUCUUGGUGCUCGAGAUCGGCUGUCGAACCCUUUCGACGGGCCAGCCAUCGACCUCUCAAGACUAUCGUGGGCGCAUACAUUGGCUUACGAAGUAAGGAAACUGCCGUGCCGGUUCGUCUUUCUGCCCGUUGGGCGCACCUUUUGAGGUAAGUGACGUUGCGACACUGUAUCGG